UUUUUUUUAGCUUAAAAUAGAGCGUUAGUUUGAAGCACUAGAGGUACUUUAAUAGUAGAAAAAU
rnacentral:tRNA from 1 species